GACGUAGGGCGCGAGCGUUGUCCGGAUUUAUUGGGCGUAAAGAGCUCGUAGGCGGCUUGUCGCGUCGUCCGUGAAAACCUGCGGCUCAACUGCAGGCUGGCGGUCGAUACGGGCAGGCUGGAGUUCGGUAGGGGAGACUGGAAUUCCUGGUGUAGCGGUGAAAUGCGCAGAUAUCAGGAGGAACACCGGUGGCGAAGGCAGGUCUCUGGGCAUUAACUGACGCUGAGGAGCGAAAGCAUGGGGAGCGAACAGG
rnacentral:rRNA from 1 species